AUGCGUACUAGGGCCAAAUCAAGAUUUCAUCAACCCCAAGACCGCCUAAACCUUCAUACCUCCGUAUCUCUCACUUCUCUUCCAAAGAAUUACAAAACUGCUCUACUUGAUCCCAAUUGGGCCGCUGCCAUGCAAGAAGAAUAUAAUGCUUUACUUCAAAACAACACCUGGCAACUUGUUCCUCGUCCUCCCAAUACAAAUAUUGUUUCUGGCAAAUGGAUUUUUCGCCAAAAGUUCCACUCCGAUGGGAGCCUCUCACGAUAUAAAGCCAGGUGGGUUUGUCGUGGCUUUUCUCAGCAACAAGGAAUUGAUUACGAAGAAACCUUCUCUCCUGUUGUUAAACCUAGCACCAUUCGCACCGUUCUUAGUGUUGCUGUCUCCUCUUCAUGGCCCAUUCACUAA
rnacentral:rRNA from 1 species